UGAUAACGAAGAUCAGAGCAAUGGAACC
rnacentral:piRNA from 1 species